AAAGCUUUUUGAUUAAAUAUUUAAGAUUUACAAUUUUAUAAACAACAAUUACAAACAUCAAUUAAAACUAUUAAUUAAAAAAAUUAUAGUUCAUUUUUAACCUUGUUAAAUAAAUGCCCAAAUUGAACAAUAAAAUGUGCAAAGACACUAUUUAAAAAAAACUCAAGAAUAAUCUAAGCUCUAGCAAUUACCAAAAUAGGUUUAUCACAAUUUUAAUACGUUUUUGAAAUUCAAAACUAAUGAAAAAAAAAAAAGAAAGAGAUUUACACUUUUAUAAAAAGGCCUUUUUGUGUGGGCUUCUUUUCUGGCAUGUGAGAUUUAAGAUAUUUUUGUUUUUGUUUUAACAAAAAAUACAAACAAAAAAAACCCUUUAAAAAUAUUGUUGGAGUUAAAACAUUUUUGGGGGGAGUGGAUUUAAUACAAUUUAUGAUAAAGUAAUGCUUUUGUGCUUAAACAUUUGAGCAUGCUAUACAAGGUUUUUAAUUUUAUACAACUACAGCUACAAUUCAAAAUAUUUUUAAAUACAUAAUUUACACAGUAUUUAAUAACAAUUUUAUGCCCAUUAAUAACAUUUAGAAUUUUAUGUAAACUGCAUUAAUAUUUUAAAAAAACUUUAUUCGAGAAUUUUUGUGCGCAUUAAAAAAAUAAUUUCUAAAAUAUCUUAAUUAGAAAUUACAUAUGUUAAAAAAUGCUGAAAAAAUAAUAAAGCACACUGUGUUAGUUUGAGAAUCCCUUUAGUUUAGUUAUGGUCAAUUUAUCAGGCCACAGUUUCUAAACACGUUUCUAAAAAAGUGUUGAGAAAAAAAGUUGAGCGUCAUUUGACUUUCUUAUCAAGCGCAACAUUUUAUUAAACUUUAUUUAUUUAUUUGUAUUUACUUCCACUUUACUUUUAGCCAAAAAGCCCUUGUUAUAUGUAGUUUUCAAAAACGAAUACCCUUAGGUUAAUUUACCUAUUUUAAAACAGUUCAAUGUUAGGCUACAACAAAAAAAAAAAUCAUAAAAAUAAAUAAUUAUAAUAAUAUUUUGAAAGCAUAAAUUAUGCUAUAGUUUCACAGAACAGCUUACUUAUUUAUUUUUUUUAUUUAAAAACGGUUUCUAUGGAAAGCUUAAUUUAAAAACAUCCCCAGCAAGAAGAGAACACUCAGGCCUUCAGGUUGUUCCCGGGGGGAAAAGGCAGCAGGAAGCGCACUGUAGCCCAUGGGCUAUCAUCUGUUGUAAUUGAAGCAUCCUCGCAUCAAGACGGAUGCAGGCCCGCAAGCGAUGCUGUCCUCUGUUUGCUGGAUGUGAUUUCGCCUCAGGCGCCUGUACCAAUUAGCAGAACAACCACAAACCGUUCCCAGAUUUCAUUGAGGAUCAGGAACAUUAGCCAUUUCAUUUUUCGGAAAUUGAAAUGCAGGUGAUGCAAUAUGCCAAAUGUAAUUUAGACAUUAUUGUCCCUUAAUUCUCAUCAGCUGAACUCAAUCGACCUGCAGUGUCAUGAUUUAUGUGCAUGUUUGGUUGUCCAGCAAAAGAAAUUGAUAGUGAAACAUGAGGAGAAACUUUUGGGGAUCUACAAAAUUCAGUUGAUUAAAUCCUAAAAUUGACUAUAAAGUACUUUAAUUUGAAAAAAAAAGUCUGUCUUUAAA